rnacentral:rRNA from 1 species
ACGGGAGGCAGCAGUGGGGGAUAUUGCACAAUGGGGGAGACCCUGAUGCAGCGACGCCGCGUGAGUGAUGAAGUAUUUCGGUAUGUAAAGCUCUAUCAGCAGGGAAGAUAAUGACGGUACCUGACUAAGAAGCACCGGCUAAAUACGUGCCAGCAGCCGCGGUAAUACGUACGGUGCAAGCGUUAUCCGGAUUUACUGGGUGUAAAGGGAGCGUAGACGGCAAGGCAAGCCAGAUGUGAAAGGCUGGGGCUCAACCCCGGGACUGCAUUUGGAACUGUCUAGCUAGAGUAUCGGAGAGGUAAGUGGAAUUCCUAGUGUAGCGGUGAAAUGCGUAGAUAUUAGGAGGAACACCAGUGGCGAAGGCGGCUUACUGGACGAUAACUGACGUUGAGGCUCGAAAGCGUGGGGAGCAAACAGGAUUAGAUACCCUGGUA